AUCUUGAUCGAAGGAAUUUAUUUCAAAAUAAAAAGAUUUAACUUCAUUUUAAAUGUAGAUAUUUCAAAAGUAGGGUUUUUGAUAUUGUGAUAUAAGAAUGCGUCGGAAUGUUUUUUUCUUUCUUCUUUAUUUAUUUAUUUAUUUUUUUUUUUUUUUCAACAACUUGUUUCUAUUUCCUUUUUUAGAGAUGUCUGUAGGUUCUUUCUAGUAUUUUGUCGGCCUUAUCAAUGAUUCUGAAUGGGAAAAUAUAGAGCUAUGGAACAUCAAUUGCAUCAAAUGCUAAUAAUCUUAAAUGAUUUGUUAAGCAGUUUUCCAGUUGAGGAAUAAUUACGUAAAUUUAGUAAUAAUAAUGAAGUACAUAGUAUAUAUUUUAUUAUAUUUUUAUGCAAGCAAUAUUAAAGGAGAUAUUAAAAGAAAAAUGAAGUGGGUAUUUAAAACAAAACGUGGCUAUGCGCUUGCCUUGAGUGAAAUAAGAUUAUCCCUUUGUUAUGAUUUUCACAUACAAAUAUUGGCGCGAAGUUUAUCGAGGAUUACGCUGUGCGUAUACGUGACGAUGAUAUAUUUGUUCGAUGGAUACUAGCUUGAUACGCCUUUGUAUUGUUCUCGUUGAUUUCAGGAAAUUUGUUUUCUGUUUGGACUCGGUAUAAAUGGCAAUGGGAGAUGAUUUUUUUCUGGCAGUACAAUCUUUGAUUUCGACAAUAUUUGGUUGUUCCGUUGCAUGUAUAGGUCUUGUUAAUUAUUCCAAUAAGAAUCAAUCAGGACAAUGUUAUCGAGAUGACACAAGAUUUUUGAUCGUUCCUCUUAUCUCCAGGUUUAACGUAUCAAAUCUACACAGGACGAUCUCAGUGACACAGUUGUAGGAUUUCCAUAUUUAUGUUGAGUGUAUUUCUAUUUCAAGGUAAACCGAAGAUGAAGAAACACUUGAAUGCCAGUACUUUCUCUCUUUAUUCUACUGAGUUUUGUCACUUAAAGAACCAAAAGCAAUGGAGAAAGAUAAAGAAGAUGAAGCUUGUGAGAUCAUUGAUUUAUGCAAACGAUAAGAUAUGUAAUUUGUCCUAGGUGGAACAUAUUUACGGAACGUUAAUUAUUUAUGCUGAUCAAAGUAUUUAUAUACAUUGAACAUUUAUUUUUUUAAACAUACUCACUGAUUAAUAGAACUACUGACUAAAUAAAUAGAAAUAUCAAAAAAGUUACUUUUAUUAUAUUUGACAUUAAUCUUAUAAAUAUUAUUUAUAUCUACAUUUUUUUAGAAACAAUUUAAUUUAUACACACACGUGCACACACACACAUUUAUAUGAUAUAUGUGUGUGGUAUUUUAUUGUUUACAAUUCUAAUCAAAAGAGAAAUUUUAUUAAUUUUAUAUAGUUAAUGAAGUAAUACAUGCAAGUUACACAGAAAAUGACAGAUAUAAGCAAAAUCAAUAUUUUUCAUGAAAGAAUGCAUGCAAGAGUUUUGAACUGUGUACUGGGUCGUUUCGACAGAUCUUACGUAAAAAGCAAAGUCAAGGAGGAUGUCGAACUUCGAGAAAAACGAGAAUCCUCAUCGAGAAUAAAUCGACUUCACAAAUUCAAAUUGAAUUGUGUUUGAUAUGCAAUGUUAAAUUUGAAACAAUACCAUCAUAUAUAGGUAAUUAUAUUAAAUAUUUAAGUGAAAUUGAGUAUUCUAUAUACAUUCCUAUUGAGGAAUUUUAGAUAUAUUUUUAUCGAGUUUGAAGUCAUAGCUCUUGCUUCGGUGUUAUAAAAGAUUUCAUCACGUUUUGUAUAUCACCGAUAGAGUAAUAUUCAUUGCCCUACAGAGAAGAGAAAUCAAGGUUAUUAUCGAUUUAAAAAAAUUCCAGUUCGAUAUAGUUCCUGAAUAUAUAUAUAUUAUAUAAAAUUUUUAUAUUUGAUAAGAAUAAUAUAAAUACAAAUAAUUAUAUUGUAAGAAUGGAAGUAUUUCAGUUAUUAUUAUUCAAGUAAAAAGUUUUCUGUGUAACUUACAAAUAAAAAGUUUCUUCUUAUUAGUAUUAAUGAAAUGCUAGAAAAUGCUAUGAAUUAAAUUUUAUUGUGAAAUAAACUAGAAAAAUUAUUGAUAUUUUUGAGCAAAAAUUUCAUAUGCAAUUCAUUUAUCCUUUUCUUAGCAUGUUUUUUUAAGUGUUAUUUUAUUUAUUCAUAUAAAGAUUCUUUCUAUUGAGGGUAGUCUAAAUUUUAUGAUAGCCAAAUUAAAUA